rnacentral:misc_RNA from 1 species
ACCUGGUCCUGUAAGUAUGUGUAACGUGUUCUAUAGACGAUUAUUGUGCUGAAAAUUGUUAACAAAUUUUCCGAUUUAGAUUUUUAAUAAAUCUGGUAUACGUAUGUCGGGAGUGUAGGAAGUCUAGUGAUACCCUAGAGUCGAAUUUCUUCAUCAGGUUUUGCGCUAUGUGGUAUGAUAGUUUCUUUUGCUACUUAAAUUCCUUGUUGGUUGUCG